UACGUAGGGGGCGAGCGUUGUCCGGAAUUACUGGGCGUAAAGCGCGUGUAGGCGGAUAUUUAAGUCAGAUGUGAAAUACCGGGGCUCAACUCCGGGGCUGCAUCUGAAACUGGGUAUCUUGAGGGCAGGAGAGGAAAGUGGAAUUCCUGGUGUAGCGGUGAAAUGCGUAGAUAUCAGGAGGAACACCAGUGGCGAAGGCGACUUUCUGGACUGACCCUGACGCUGAGACGCGAAAGCGUGGGGAG
rnacentral:rRNA from 1 species